rnacentral:rRNA from 1 species
AGGAUAAACGCUGGCGGCGUGCCUAACACAUGCAAGUCGAACGUCCUUGCGGUCUUCUUCUUCGGAGGAGGACCGCGAGGGAGUGGCGGACGGGUGAGUAACACAUGGGUACCUGCCUUUCAGUGAGGAAUACCGGCGAGAAAUCGCCGACAAGACCGCAUAGGCUUCCUUCGGUAGCCCGAGGGAAGCAAAGUUACUUCGCGAGAGGUGACGCUGGAAGAGGGGCCUGUGGCCGAUUAGCUAGUUGGGGGGGUAACGGCCUCCCAAGGCGACGAUCGGUAGCUGGUCUGAGAGGACGAUCAGCCACACUGGGAUUGAGAACGGCCCAGACUCCUACGGGGGGCAGCAGUGAGGAAUUUUCCGCAAUGGACGAAAGUCUGACGGAGCAACGCCGCGUGCAGGAGGAAGGUUUUCGGAUCGUAAACUGCUUUUCUCGGGGACGAGCAAGGACGGUACCCGAGGAAGAAGCCCGGCUAACUACGCGCCAGCAGCCGCGGUAA